GGCCAGUUCCUGGCCUUGGGACCCUGAGCUGCCCAGCCCCAGCACUCUCUCAGUGCACCCCUCCUCUACCCUCCCAAGCUGCCCCAUAGGACCAGACGACGAAAGGGUGCAGGGACACGCGUGCAGAACUUGGAGGCUCUGGGGGCCCUCCCUGAGGCCAGUCCUGCCCCUAACUUGCUGUGUGACCAUGAGUUAGCCACUGAGUGUCUCUGGGCUGCACUUUAAUCAUCUAUAAAACGAAAGUGGGAGGAAGUAGGCCUAGAUGCUUCCUAGGGUCCUUCCAGCUCCCACCUACUGUACUUUGAUUAUUCCACGGGAGGUUCCCCUUCAAGUGCCUGCGCGGCCACUCCCCAGCCACUGGGGCACCUCAGCCUGCCUGAGGGUGAGGAAAGGCAGGUGGAGUUCAGCAGAAACAGCCAUGCUCACCAAAUAUUCCAUCUAGAACCCCACACAUCCCAGCCACCUUGCGGUUAGCUGAGGUCACGUGACAACUCUGACCAAUGGGCUGUGGGCAGAAGCAAUAAGCACCACUUCCGGGCUGAAGCAUGGAGAAGCGGAGAAGCCGAGAAGCAUGGAUCUCCCUGCAGUUUCUUCUGGUCUUGUGGCCCAGAAGGCCUUGUGGUGAGAUGGUGGAACUGAGCUGAGCUGGAAGCAGCCCAGGUUGCCAAAUUGUCACUUGGAAGACACCCCUGCUGACCUUUGUAGAGAGAACGUUGGCUGCCUUUCCCCCAUCAGACCAGGAACGCCCCCAGGGAAGAGACAUGUCUCCCAUCAAUCCAGGAAAGCACCUGAAAUGCUCCAGUGAAGCAAGGACUUGAGGACGCUCAUGAAAUCCUCCACUGUCUUCAAAAAGUCAUCAGCCCUGAAUCUGGUCGUCCUCAUAGACCCCAAACCCACUCCACCAUGGCCAAACCAAACAUACCCUAAGCACAGCCCUGGAAGCCAAAUCACCUAAGCCAAAGAAUCAAGGUGAAGGUUGAGACCCUGCUUCUCAACUCCCUCAGGGCUCAGAAACCAUCAGGAGAUGCACAAUGGAUGUUGGAUAAUGUCUGGGGCUCUAGACUAGGAAUUGGGAAAACCGGUACCAGUUUCUGGCUCAGCCACUGCUGUGCUACUAGAUCCUGGGCAAGCCACUGACCACUCUGCCCUCACUCUCUCCAUCUAGAAAGGGAGGAGGCUUGGCCAUCAGAGCAUGGAUAACAUCUGUGUGUCUUGGCCGGGGGUCUACACCCCAGAGAGGGCCAGGGUGAGGAGGAUUCGCCUCAGAGCCUUUUCUUGAACUCAGGGUAUUAGUCUGGUCUUCCCAAGGCCCCAGGUCACUAGCCAACUCUCCCUCCUAAACCGGGCAUUAGCCUCCAGGAAGAACCUUUGGAUGGGAGACUGAGCAAGAAGCCAGUAGCCUGGCCCUUGGAGGAAGUGUGGGCAGAGAAUGGGAACAAAGGGGGUGAGCUCUCAGACCCUAACCCAGCUCAGGGGAGAGUGUGACUGGUUUCCUUUGGGCCCCCAGGGCUUUCUCUGUUAGAAAAGAAUAGAAGUGCCAGAAGUGAAAAGGAUGCAUGAGGAAACUAAGGUUUGCUAAGAUUUUGCUAGGUGCUAGGCACAUAAAUAACUGCAUUUAAUCCCCACAGUCCUAUGAAAUACCAGUGUUGUCUCCAUUUUACAGAUGAGAACACUGAGGUUCAAAGAGGUCAAAUGACCUGCCCAAGAUCACACAUCUAGGAAAUGGCAGGACUAAGACUCGAACUCCAAAUCACAUGGUCUUUCCGUAGGUGCACUCGGGAUGGGACCUCUGGCAUCGGGCUCAGAGACCCUAAGAUACAGCCUGACUGGGGAUCCCCUUCGAGGAACUGGCAGAGUAGUCAGGGUGUGCUGAGGUAGGCCCCCACCUCUCCUAUCCAGGGUAUUUCCUUCCUUGUACUCAGGAGGCUCUCAGAGCCCAGACAACCCUUUGUUCCCCUCUGCUCUGAACCUGACACUGGAGAGACCAGCAAUCAGUCACCCCCAGCCUCCUCCCGGAAGUGCAGUACCUGGGCUGGAACAAUCUCCCCUGCCUCCCCAGCUCUCCAUGCCACACUGUGCCCACAGCCCUGCUGGGCCAGCCCCCGCCCCCUGACUGCCUGACUCAUGACCACCCUGUAAUGGAGCAUGAAGUCUAAUUGCAUCCCCUAAUGAUAGCCCUCAGCCACCAGGAGACAGGUGCAGAGGUGGCAGGGAGAGCCAGAGAGCUGGAACUGGGAAGAGGCAAGGGCUCUGUCACACUCUUGUACCUG